rnacentral:sRNA from 1 species
CGCCUCGAUAUCACUGCUUAGAACGAUC